GACGAACGCUGGCGGCGUGCUUAACACAUGCAAGUCGAACGGAGUGGCGAACGGGUGAGUAUUACGUGAGUAACCUGCCCUCAACUGUGGGAUAAGCCUGGGAAACUGGGUCUAAUACUGCAUAGUUGGGGAUGGGCUCGCGGCCUAUCAGUUGGGGGGUGGGUGCUGGCCUACCAAGGCGGUGAAGGGUAGCCGGCCUGAGGGGGUGGUCGGCCACAGUGUGACUGAGAUACGUCCCAGACUCCUACGGGGGACAGCUGGUGUGGAUAUUGCACAAUGGGCGCAAGCCUGAUGCAGCGACGCCGCGUGAGUGAUGAAGGCUUUCGGGUUGUAAUCCUCUUUCGGUACAGAACGGGUAUGUGCAGAAGAAGCGCCGGCUAACUACGUGCCAGCAGCCGCGGUAAUAC
rnacentral:rRNA from 1 species